rnacentral:rRNA from 1 species
CUUAGCUGGUUUGAGAGGAUGAUCAGCCACACUGGGACUGAGACACGGCCCAGACUCCUACGGGAGGCAGCAGUGGGAAUAUUGCACAAUGGGGGAGACCCUGAUGCAGCCAUGCCGCGUGUGUGAAGAAGGCCUUCGGGUUGUAAAGCACUUUCAGCAGUGAGGAAGGUCGUGUACUUAAUACGUGCACGGCUUGACGUUAGCUGCAGAAGAAGCACCGGCUAACUCCGUGCCAGCAGCCGCGGUAAUACGGAGGGUGCGAGCGUUAAUCGGAAUUACUGGGCGUAAAGCGCAUGCAGGCGGUUUGUUAAGUCAGAUGUGAAAGCCCGGGGCUCAACCUCGGAACCGCAUUUGAAACUGGCAGGCUAGAGUCUUGUAGAGGGGGGUAGAAUUUCAGGUGUAGCGGUGAAAUGCGUAGAGAUCUGAAGGAAUACCAGUGGCGAAGGCGGCCCCCUGGACAAAGACUGACGCUCAGAUGCGAAAGCGUGGGUAGCAAACAGGAUUAGAUACCCUGGUAGUCCACGCCGUAAACGCUGUCUACUUGGAGGUUGAGGUUUUAGACUUUGGCUUUCGGCGCUAACGCAUUAAGUAGACCGCCUGGGGAGUACGGCCGCAAGGUUAAAACUCAAAUGAAUUGACGGGGGCCCGC